GACGAACGCUGGCGGCGUGCUUAACACAUGCAAGUCGAGCGGAGCGGCGAACGGGUGAGUAACGCGUGAGUAACUGCCCCCCCCUCUGGGAUAACAGUUGGAAACGGCUGCGAAUACCGGAUAGUGGGGGAUGACUCGCGGCCUAUCAGCUUGUGGGUGGGGUAGUGGCCUACCACGGCGACGACGGGUAGCCGGCCUGGGAGGGCGACCGGCCUCAUUGGGCUGAGCUACGGCCCAAACUCCUACGGGAGGCAGCAGGGGGAAAUAUUGCGCAGUGGGGGAAACCCGGAUACGGAAACGCGCGUGCGGGAUGACGUCCUUCGGGUUGUAAACCGCUUUCAGCCAUGACGCGGUAGUGGCAGAAGAAGCACCGGCUAACUCCGUGCCAGCAGCCGCGGUAAUAC
rnacentral:rRNA from 1 species